rnacentral:rRNA from 1 species
AGCCUGAUGCAGCCAUGCCGCGUGUAUGAAGAAGGCCUUCGGGUUGUAAAGUACUUUCAGUUGUGAGGAAGGGGGUAGUGUUAAUAGCGCUAUCUCUUGACGUUAGCAACAGAAGAAGCACCGGCUAACUCCGUGCCAGCAGCCGCGGUAAUACGGAGGGUGCGAGCGUUAAUCGGAAUUACUGGGCGUAAAGCGCAUGCAGGUGGUUCAUUAAGUCAGAUGUGAAAGCCCGGGGCUCAACCUCGGAACUGCAUUUGAAACUGGUGAACUAGAGUACUGUAGAGGGGGGUAGAAUUUCAGGUGUAGCGGUGAAAUGCGUAGAGAUCUGAAGGAAUACCAGUGGCGAAGGCGGCCCCCUGGACAGAUACUGACACUCAGAUGCGAAAGCGUGGGGAGCAAACAGGAUUAUACCCUGGUAGUCCACGCCGUAAACGAGUUUAUGUGCCUUGAGCCGUGGCUUUCGGAGCUACGCGUUAAGUAGACCGCCUGGG